AGGGUUUGAUCAUGGCUCAGAUUGAACGCUGGCGGUAGGCUUAACACAUGCAAGUCGUGCGAGAAAGUAUCUUCGGAUAUGAGUAGAGCGGCGGACGGGUGGGUAACGCGUAGGAAUCUACCUAGUAGAAGGGGAUAGCCCGGGGAAACCCGGAUUAAUACCGUAUACCUCCUUCGGGAGAAAGAAGGCCUCUCUUUGAAGCUUUCGCUACUAGAUGAGCCUGCGUAAGAUUAGCUUGUUGGUGAGGUAAAGGCUCACCAAGGCUACGAUCUUUAGCUGGUCUGAGAGGACGAUCAGCCACAUUGGGACUGAGACACGGCCCAGACUCCUACGGGAGGCAGCAGUGGGGAAUAUUGGACAAUGGGCGCAAGCCUGAUCCAGCCAUACCGCGUGUGUGAAGAAGGCCUUCGGGUUGUAAAGCACUUUAAGCAGGGAGAAAAAGUUAUAAGCUAAUACCUUAUGACCUUGAUGUUACCUGCAGAAUAAGCACCGGCUAAUUCCGUGCCAGCCGCCGCGGUAAUAC
rnacentral:rRNA from 1 species